CCUACGGGGGGCAGCAGUGGGGAAUAUUGGACAAUGGGCGAAAGCCUGAUCCAGCCAUGCCGCGUGUGUGAAGAAGGCCUUCGGGUUGUAAAGCACUUUCAGUGGGGAAGAAAGCCUUGGGGCUAAUACCCUCGAGGAAGGACAUCACCCACAGAAGAAGCACCGGCUAACUCCGUGCCAGCAGCCGCGGUAAUACGGAGGGUGCGAGCGUUAAUCGGAAUUACUGGGCGUAAAGCGCGCGUAGGCGGUCUGAUAAGCCGGUUGUGAAAGCCCCGGGCUCAACCUGGGAACGGCAUCCGGAACUGUCAGGCUAGAGUGCAGGAGAGGAAGGUAGAAUUCCCGGUGUAGCGGUGAAAUGCGUAGAGAUCGGGAGGAAUACCAGUGGCGAAGGCGGCCUUCUGGACUGACACUGACGCUGAGGUGCGAAAGCGUGGGCAGCAAACAGGAUUAGAUACCCGAGUAGUC
rnacentral:rRNA from 1 species